rnacentral:rRNA from 1 species
AUUGAACGCUGGCGGCAGGCUUAACACAUGCAAGUCGAGCGGGGUGAUGGUGCUUGCACUAUCACUUAGCGGCGGACGGGUGAGUAAUGCUUAGGAAUCUGCCUAUUAGUGGGGGACAACAUCUCGAAAGGGAUGCUAAUACCGCAUACGUCCUACGGGAGAAAGCAGGGGAUCACUUGUGACCUUGCGCUAAUAGAUGAGCCUAAGUCGGAUUAGCUAGUUGGUGGGGUAAAGGCCUACCAAGGCGACGAUCUGUAGCGGGUCUGAGAGGAUGAUCCGCCACACUGGGCCUGAGAAACGGCCCAGACUCCUACGGGAGGCAGCAGUGGGGAAUAUUGGCCAAUGGGGGGAACCCUGAUCCAGCCAUGCCGCGUGUGUGAAGAAGGCCUUAUGGUUGUAAAGCACUUUAAGCGAGGAGGAGGCUCUUUUGGUUAAUACCCAAGAUGAGUGGACGUUACUCGCAGAAUAAGCACCGGCUAACUCUGUGCCAGCCGCCGCCGUAA